GUCCCAGGUGGAGAGGAAAAGGAAGUGAAGCUGAAAAAACAUUCCAGAAAAGAAUGGCUGAAAGUUUCCCAAGUUCGACAAAGACCUGAACCUACAGAUUCAAGAAGCCGACUGAAUCUCCAGCAUAAGCCCAAAUAAAUCCAUGAUAACACACACCAUAAUCAAACUUCUGAAAACUCAAGUCAAAGAAAGAAUCGUGAAGGCAGUCGGAGAGAAAUGACACCUUUCCUGUAGGGGAACAACAGUUCAGUUGCAGCAGAUGUGAGCUGCCAGAAAGAAGUGGGACAGCAUCCAAUGAGCGAAGGAAGAUACGAAAGAAGACCAUUUAGGACUGAAGAUGAAAUGAAGACAUUCUCAAAUAAAAGAAACACUAAGUGUAUCUGUUGUCUGAAGACCUACCCUAAAAGAAUGGCCGACACAGUUGGUAGAGUGUGUGACUGGAUCUUGGGGUUGUGAGUUCGAGCCCCACGCUGGGUGUAGAGAUUACUUUUAAAAAAUGGCUGAAGGAAGUUCUUCAAACAUAAAGGAAAUGGUAAAAGAAGGAAACUUAAAACAUCAAGAAUGAAGAAAGAUAAAUGAAAAGAAUGGAAAUACAGGUAAAUGUAAUAGACUAUCCUUCCCCACUGGUAUUUUCUAAAUUAUAUUCAAUGGCCAAAGUAUAAAUUAUAACAUAUAACAUUGUCUGAUGUGGUUCUCAGUGUAUGUAGAGGAAAUAUGUAAGACAUUAUAAAAUGGAAAGUAAAGAUCUAAACAGAAGGCUUCUGUACCUCACUUGGAAGUGGCAAAAUGUCGAUACUGUGACUCAUGUAGACUGUGAUAAAUUAUGAAUGUAUAAUGAAACCCCAGAGCAGUCACUAAAAACUCUGCACAAAGAGAUACACUUGAAAACGCCAUAGAUAAAUAAAAAAUGGAAUCCUAAAAGAUGUUCAAGUAACACAAGAAGGGUGGAAAAACAGAACAGAGGAAUGAAAAAUAGAGGGAACCAACAGAAAAUAAAAUGGCAAAUGGAAACACUAAGACAUAAAUAAUUACAUCAACUGGAAAUGGCCUCAAUAAGUCAUUUAAAAGUGAGAGAUCUGAAAAACAGAAUACAAAAAUGUGACCCAGCUAUAAGCCAUCAGCAAGAAAUUCACUUCAAAUAUAAUGGCAUAGGUAGGUUGAAAGUAAAAGGAUGUAAAAGAAAUAUGCCAUACAAACAUUAAUCAAAAGACAGCAGAGUCUGCCAUCUUAAUAUUAGGUAAUAGCAGAUAAAAGAAAAUCACCCGGAAAAGAAGUUACAUUACAUAAUGAUAACAGGGUCAAACCAGGAGGAAGACAAAGUAAUCCCAAACGUAUAGGCACUAAACUGACAAAACCCAAAGGAGAAACAGGCAAAUACACUAUCAGAGUUGGAGACUUCCACACAUCUCUGAACAACUGAUAGAAAUACUAGGCAGAAAAACAACAGGAUCUGUAAGAACUUAACAAAACCAUCAGCCAAAAGGAUCUAACUGACAUUUAGAGACUACUCCAUCCAACAACAGCAAGAUACACAUUCUUUUCAAGUGCCCAUGGAAAUAUCCACCCCAAUAGACAAUACCCUAAGUAAAAAAAUCAAAACAGCAAACCACACACAACCUCAAGAGAUUUAAAAGAUUGAAAGAGAUUUAAAAUUAUACAGUAGUAUUCCCUUGACCACAGUGGAAUCAAAUAGGUCCAAGUUAGCAACAGAAAGGUGACAGGAAAAAUCUCCAAACACAUGAAAAGUAAACAACAUACUUCUAAAUAAUCUAUGGGUCAAAGUGAAAAUCUCAACGAAAUUUUUAAAAAUUUUGCUGAAUGAAAGUACAAAGUAUCAAAAUUUGUGGGGCACAGCGAACUGGAUGCUGAAAGGAAAAUUUACGGCACUAAAUGUUUACUUUCAAAGGAAGAAAGGCCUCCAACCAACAAUCUAAGCUCCUGCCUCAAACUAGAAUCAGAAGAG